UUUCUGUGCAGUUGUGAGUGACUCAUAGUGCUCAUUUUUAAACUUAGAUUAUACACUGUGAAAAAUCACAUCUGUCUUGUGCUCCAGUGAAAUAUCAAUUCAACUUUUUUUUUUUAAAUUGAGCACUUGAGAACAAUUUAUGACACGUUUAACAAGCUUAAUGCAUUACAAACUGUAUUUGUAAAAAAAAAAAAAAACCUGUAUUUGUGAGUGCAGUGAGAGAACCGUGUCCUCUGUCUCCCUCUAGUUCUGUGUAGAUGAUCAAACACUGUUGAAGAUCAUCUAAAAUCAUAGAGAAAGGGCUUUUACUGUACAUUUGGCAAAAACAAACAAACAAACAAGCCCAGGUGAGAAAAAUAACUCAAAAGUAAUGUAACGCACUACCUUCCAUAAAAAGUAACAGCUCAUUUAGUUACUUUUGUUUGUAGCAGUAACGCAACAUUGUAAUGCAUCACUUGCAAAAGUAACUUCCCUCAACACUGUGUGUGUUUGUGAGUGUGUGUUUGUGAGUGUGUGUUUGUUUGUGAGUGUGUGUGUGUUCGGCGUCAGGUGUAAUAUGAAGCUUUAAUCUCCAGAGACGUUAAUCCUGCUGUCUCUGCAUGCUAAUACUCUCCAGAGGAACAGAACACAGACAGAAGGACAGAAGGAGGACAAACACACUGAAGCUGAACACAGAACAAGAUCUGAACUCACCAACUCACAGUGUGAUGUCCGCAGGUCCACAGCACUCCAGCGUUGAGCUGCAGAGGAGACGAGAACAUGCAUCAUAUCAGGUAUCAGACAUUCAUCGCAUCAUCAGCUUCUCACAACUUUAUAGAGUUACAUAAGCAUUGGGCAAAACGUUCUUAAAAGAAUGUUUCUGGAACGUUCUUAUAACCUUGUUAAUAGUUGAUAUAUAUUCUCAUAAUGUUGAGAGAAAAUGUUCUGAGGUCAUCAGUUGUGUGUCAAUCAGUCUCUGCAAAAAAGAGGAAGGUUUAGCUAUAAUGGGUUUUUAACAGCAGCAUUCUCAGAACGUCCUUAUGAUGUUGUUUGUACUCGAUGAACAUAAGAAAUGUUUUUCAACAUUUUAACAUUUUGGAAACAUAAAAAAAAAAAUUCUUACCUGGGUUGAGACUGGUGUUAUUAUAUUUAAGACUGAUGUCAGUUAUUUUUAUGUUUUAGUGUCAACAACAAUUUAUUUCUGCUUUCUGCUUCAUGAAACUCACACAGGCAAAACAAUGAAUUCAUCUCUUUUAUCGCCAACAUUCAUUUGUCUGUGGCUCUUUGCUUAAUUACCAUUUAAAGAGGCUGAUAUUAUCAAACAAAUAUUUAAAAUAUCAUAUGGUCGGUCAGUUUUGACCACAAACAGCCAAUAUAUGACUGUUAAUGACCGUUUCAGACUCACUGAAUGAAGCACAGUUGGUUUGUAAGAUUGCAUAUCUAAAAUAAAAAUCCCGAUGAUUUGAUCCACUCAGAGAGAUGACCUGAGAGCUCACAAAGAUUAAAGUGGAUAGGAACAUUAAAACACUAGAAGAUGUUUUGCUGUUACUCUUCAGAGGGCCACACGAGAGCGCCAUCAGUACGUAUAGAGCCCCUGUCCUUCCUGACCUGUAGUGAACACUCAUGAUCUGAAAGUAUUUGGAAGUAUUCCAUGGUAGGGAAAGAAAUACUGUGGGAGUCAAUGGCUACCGUCAACUGUUUGCUUAAACACAUUCUUCAAAAAAAAGAUUUUUAUGUUUGACACGAACAGGUUUUG
rnacentral:lncRNA from 1 species